rnacentral:lncRNA from 1 species
UCUUGCUCUGCGAGUCUCUCUCUCACAAGUCACAACCAUCCUAUAUAGACAAAUAGGCAUCCACCCAAAACAUGUGUAGCAAGCAGAGGACACACACUCUCUUGCUUUCUUCUCUCUCUACACAGUCCCUCUUUUUCUGAGACAAUGGAGACCCAACAACAGCAGCAGCCUCAGCCUAAAACCACUGAUGAGAAGCUUUCCUUGGACAUUGAACACUUCGAACCCAAGACCCUCACAAGGGAGCAAAUCAAAAGUGCAAGGGUAUGAUAAUCCCAUUUCUUCCCUUUCUUUUCUCUUUAAUAUUAUCUUCACAUAUCUAUGCGUGUCCAGGCCGCAGCUGCCCUGCAAUUAGCGGCAUUAAGAGAAGAAAGGAAAGCUCAGAUCAAGAUGGCUGUAAGUUUUUUUUGGGUGUUUGUUUAUAACAUAUAGCAGCAAGAAGAGGCUUUUCUUUCCCAUUCUUUAAAAAUUUUAGCUUCAACCAUUUCCCUCUCACUUCAAAUUUGUCUUACCAAUAUAUAUAUAUAUAUAGCUAUUAGGAGAUUUGAUUUGGUGAGAAAAUACAGGAAUAUUCAAGCUCAAGAAGAGGUGAAGGUGGAUGUGAUGUGUAGCCCUCCUCUUAGAAUCUAGAGGGCUAGGUGUCUUGCAGUCCUCUCGAUCCAAUGGUUAUCAUAUAUGCAUGUCGUUUUCUGGCAUUUGAAAUAAAAGACAGAACUAAAUAAUGGCUAUCUUUGUUUCAAGACUCCAUUAGUGGGUAUGUGUUCUUUCUCUGUCUCUCUUUUUCUAUGUGUGUGUCUGAACUCCAUGGUUGAAGAUUCAUCUCGAUUAGGCUCCAGAUGCACUUACAUUUCCAUCUGUAAAAUGGUUUUGCAUGGUUAAUUUCUACUAAUCUGGCAUAUUAAAGUAUCAGCCUUGGCAGUUUUGGUCGGAAACCCAUACUUGAUAAUAUUGGAGAAAUUAAUUUUUACAUCCAAAAAUUAAACUAGAAACUAUCCAGAUUAUCCGAACUCUCGUUAAAACUAACCUAAUCCUUCCUUAACCCAAUUAUUG